UUCGGGUGCGUCUCCCUUCUCGGGAAAUGCUCUCGACCCCCACGAACCCUUGACCUCAAAUCGGGUGAGACUACAGGCUGAACUUAAGCAUAUCAAUAA
rnacentral:rRNA from 1 species